rnacentral:rRNA from 1 species
UACGUAGGGUGCGAGCGUGUCCGGAAUUAUUGGGCGUAAAGGGCUCGUAGGCGGUUUGUCGCGUCGGGAGUGAAAACCUUGGGCUUAACUCAGGGCUUGCUUUCGAUACGGGCAGACUAGAGGUAUGCAGGGGAGAACGGAAUUCCUGGUGUAGCGGUGAAAUGCGCAGAUAUCAGGAGGAACACCGGUGGCGAAGGCGGUUCUCUGGGCAUGAUCUGACGCUGAGGAGCGAAAGUGUGGGGAGCGAACAGG